UACGUAGGUGGCAAGCGUUAUCCGGAUUUAUUGGGCGUAAAGGGAACGCAGGCGGUCUUUUAAGUCUGAUGUGAAAGCCUUCGGCUUAACCGGAGUAGUGCAUUGGAAACUGGGAGACUUGAGUGCAGAAGAGGAGAGUGGAACUCCAUGUGUAGCGGUGAAAUGCGUAGAUAUAUGGAAGAACACCAGUGGCGAAAGCGGCUCUCUGGUCUGUAACUGACGCUGGGGCUCGAAAGCGUGGGGAGCAAACAGG
rnacentral:rRNA from 1 species